rnacentral:lncRNA from 1 species
GGUCAUCCAGAUGCUCUUCAGCUCUGUGGCUUACCUGGAGCGGAGCUAUUAUAAUGUGCCCAGAUCUAGGCCUUUGUGUUGGCACACCCAAAAUCUACAUCAUCUGUGAAAGGGUCUGCCCUGCUGAUCAAAGCUGCAAGAUCUCUAUGACAUGAGGCAACAACAGGAUAACCAGGAGGAUUACCUAUAAGGAUCCAGUAUUGAUGGUACCACAGAAAACAGAAAGCUCAAUCCAGAUCAAAGACUCACUUCAAUGAACGUUUGCAAGUGAAGAUAUAUGGACAGGGUAAUAUACUGUGGGUCACACUAUGACACACUGCAGCUUCCAUGAUGAGAUACUUUCUACGCUUUGUUUUAUUUUUGUUUGUGUUUGUGUAUGUUUGUUGUUGUUUGCUUUUGUUUUUGCAGGGAAGGUUGCAAGGGUGGAGGAUGGAUGUGUGGGUCUGAGGUGCAUGAUGUGAGAUGCACUAAAAAUCAAUAAAAACUUGGGGUUAUUCCAAAACCUGUGUCACUCUCAUGUGAGGCUGGCUGAAUCAUCCCAAUGGUCUGUACAAUGAACAGGUCAGCACCUAGCCUAAUUAUCAUCAGAGAAACAUCUUUCAGAAACUGAUGGGAGCAGAUGGCGAGAUCCACAGCCAAACAAAAGGCAGAGCCUGGGGAACUGCUGAGGAAGAAAGAAAGGAGGAUUGCAGGAGCCAGAGGAGUUGAGGACACCAUGAGAACACAGAGACCUAACCAACCAUCAUGGACCCUGUUGAGACACCCACUCCCGCCCCUGAGGAAGCUGGGAUUGGGGGGGUGCAAUCCUCCAUGUCUUAGAACUGUGUGAAGGAGAGAAGAGAAGAAAGUAUCCCUGGAAGAAGAACUGAACAUGCAAGAGGGAAAACCAGAGCAACCAUGUAAAGGGACCAAGAGAAUGCAGCCCAGAGGGCUGCUCAGUUGUGUCAAAAGCAGUCAAGAUGAACCAGAAGACAUCUUGAGGCACAUCAUUAGUCGAUUAAAAUAUCUCAUGGAUAUUUUUAAAGUUUUUAUAUCUGUUCAUUAAAACGUUUAUUGAAGGCAGAAAUAAUGUAAGAACUGGAGGUCAGGGGUGCUGUCAGAAGUUGUCUUCAGAACAUGAUGCUAAUGACAGAAGAACAGAAGAGUAUUGCUCACCAACUCCUAUAUUGAAGGAUCUGCAUGAUUAUUGGAACCAGAAGAAUUGAGAGUGGAAUGCCAAACAAACCAAAAUAACUAAUAUAAAGAAUGGCUAGCGUGAGUUCAGAGUAAAAUUAAAUAUGCAAGGAGAAAAUCAAGCCAUUGAGAUAUUGGGGCAGGAGAAUUGCAAUUUUUACCAGAAGGAAGUGGCUCAGUGAAAAGGUGGCAUUUAAGCAAAAGGUGAAGAGGGUGGGAGCAUAAGCCAAAAUAUAGACCAUGGAGUGUGAUCAUUCAAAGAAGAGGAUUAAAGUAUGCUCUGACGUGGGCAGAGCCUGGAGUCAAGGAAGACCUGUCAUCAGGGCAAGGAGGGUGUGAAUAUCAUAGAAAGAGACCACAAAAUAUUGAGGUAGGAGCAUGAUGUUGGAACAAAGAUGCCGUCCUAGGGGGUGUGUGAUUACUGUGGAAAUCAGACACACUGGAAGAACUGUACAAGACUAGAAGCUGAAGAAUAAUGCUAUGAAUCCAAGGGAAAGGACAAAGCAAAGAACUUAAAGCACAAUUAAAAGAGGAAAGAAGAAUGUCUGUCACUACUGCUUGCAGGUGAGAAGAUAUAAUAUUAUGAAUAAGCAAUAGUAA